CCUACGGGUGGCAGCAGUCGAGAAUCAUUCACAAUGGGGGAAACCCUGAUGGUGCGACGCCGCGUGGGGGAAUGAAGGUCUUCGGAUUGUAAACCCCUGUCAUGUGGGAGCAAAUUAAAAAGAUAGUACCACAAGAGGAAGAGACGGCUAACUCUGUGCCAGCAGCCGCGGUAAUACAGAGGUCUCAAGCGUUGUUCGGAAUCACUGGGCGUAAAGCGUGCGGAGGCUGUUUCGUAAGUCGUGUGUGAAAGGCGCGGGCUCAACCCGCGGACGGCACAUGAUACUGCGGGACUAGAGGAAUGGAGGGGGAACCGGAAUUCGCGGUGUAGCAGUGAAAUGCGUAGAUAUCGAGAGGAACACUCGUGGCGAAGGCGGGUUCCUGGACAUUAACUGACGCUGAGGCACGAAGGCCAGGGGAGCGAAAGGGAUUAGAUACCCUAGUAGUC
rnacentral:rRNA from 1 species